rnacentral:tRNA from 1 species
GGAGGGUUGGCCGAGCGGUCGAAGGCGGCGGUCUUGAAAACCGUAGACGGGGCGACUCGUCCGGGGGUUCGAAUCCCUCACCCUCCGCCA